UCUAAGAAUAGGGGACAACGUUUCGAAAGGAACGCUAAUACCGCAUACGUCCUACGGGAGAAAGUGCUCGCGGACCUCACGCUAUCCCAUAUGGACUAGCCUAGGUCGGCAUUUAUAGCUAGUUGGUGGGGUAAAGGCCCCGAUCCGUAACUGGUCUGAGAGGAUGAUNNGUCACACUGGAACUGAGACACGGUCCAGACUCCUACGGGAGGCAGCAGUGGGGAAUAUUGGACAAUGGGCGAAAGCCUGAUCCAGCCAUGCCGCGUGUGUGAAGAAGGUCUUCGGAUUGUAAAGCACUUUAAGUUGGGAGGAAGGGCUGUAAGCGAAUACCUUGCAGUUUUGACGUUACCGACAGAAUAAGCACCGGCUAACUUCGUGCCAGCAGCCGCGGUAAUACGAAGGGUGCAAGCGUUAAUCGGAAUUUACUGGGCGUAAAGCNNGCGUAGGUGGUUUGGUAAGUUGGAUGUGAAAGCCCCGGGCUCAACCUGGGAACUGCAUCCAANNCUGCCUGACUAGAGUACGGUAGAGGGUGGUGGAAUUUCCUGUGUAGCUUGGUGAAACGUAGAUAUAGGAAGGAACACCAGUGGCGAAGGCGACCACCUGGACUGAUACUGACACUGAGGUGCGAAAGCGUGGGGAGCAAACUAUUAUAGAUACCCUGGUAGUCNACGCCGUAAAGUAUGUCGACUAGCCGUUGGGCUCCUUGAGAGCUUAGUGGCGCAGCUAACGCAUUAAGUCGACCGCCUGGGGAGUACGGCCGCAAGGUUAAAACUCAAAUGAAUUGACGGGGGCCCGCACAAGCGGCUAUAGGCAUGUGGUUAUUAAUUCGAAGCAACGCGACCUUACCUGGCCUUGACAUCCUGCGAACUGGAAGAUACCUGGGUGCCUUCGGGAGCGCAGAGACAGGUGCUGCAUGGCUGUCGUCAGCUCGUGUCGUGAGAUGUUGGGUUAAGUCCCGUAACGAGCGCAACCCUUGUCCUUAGUUACCAGCACGUCAUGGUGGGCACUCUAAGGAGACUGCCGGUGUUUAGCCGGAGGAAGGUGGGGAUGACGUCAAGUCAUCAUGGCCCUUACGGCCAGGGCUACACACGUGCUACAAUGGUCGGUACAGAGGGUUGCCAAGUCGCGAGGCGGAGCUAAUCCCAGAAAACCGAUCGUAGUCCGGAUCGCAGUCUGCAACUCGACUGCGUGAAGUCGGAAUCGCUAGUAAUCGCAAAUCAGAAUGUCGCGGUGAAUACGUUCCCGGGCCUUGUACACACCGCCCGUCACACCAUGGGAGUGGGUUGCUCCAGAAGUAGCUAGUCUAACCUUCGGGGGGACGGUUACCACGGAGUGAUUCAUGACUGGGGUGAAGUCGUAACAAGGUAGUCGGCGAACCAAUG
rnacentral:rRNA from 1 species